GUGGGUAUAGUUCAGUUGGUUAGAGCGCCAGAUUGUGAUUCUGGAGGUCGUCGGUUCGAAUCCGACUACCCACCCCA
rnacentral:tRNA from 1 species